UUUCCGGUUGAUCCCGCCGGACCCCACUGCUAUCGGGGUGGGACUAAGCCAUGCAAGUCGAAGGUCCCCGGCUCCGGGGGCCUGGCAGACGGCUCAGUAACACGUGGCCAACCUGCCCUCGGGAGGGGGAUAACCCCGGGAAACUGGGGUUAAACCCCCAUAGGCGGCGAGAUCUGGAAGGACUCGCCGCUGAAAGUGGUGCACGGGGAUGCUCCGUGCACCAGCCCGAGGAUGGGGCUGCGGCCCAUCAGGUUGUUGGCGGGGUAACGGCCCGCCAAGCCUAUAACGGGUACGGGCCCUGAGAGGGGGAGCCCGGAGAUGGGUACUGAGACAAGGACCCAGGCCCUACGGGGCGCAGCAGGCGCGAAACCUCCGCAAUGCGCGAAAGCGCGACGGGGCCACCCCGAGUGCCAUCCGCUGAGGGUGGCUUUUCCCUAGUGUAGUAAGCUAGGGGAAUAAGCGGGGGGCAAGUCUGGUGUCAGCCGCCGCGGUAAUACCAGCUCCGCGAGUGGUCGGGACGAUUAUUGGGCCUAAAGCGUCCGUAGCCGGCCUAACAAGUCUCUGGUUAAAUCUCAAGGCUUAACCUUGAGAUCGCUGGAGAUACUGUUAGGCUAGGGGGCGGGAGAGGUUGAGGGUACUUCGCGGGUAGGGGCGAAAUCCUAUAAUCCGCGAAGGACCACCAGUGGCGAAGGCGCUCAACUGGAACGCGCCCGACGGUGAGGGACGAAAGCUAGGGGAGCAAAGGGGAUUAGAUACCCCCGUAGUCCUGGCUGUAAACGAUGCGGGCUAGGUGUUGGGUUGGCUUCGUGCCAACCCAGUGCCGCAGCGAAGGCGAUAAGCCCGCCGCCUGGGAAGUACGGCCGCAAGGCUGAAACUUAAAGGAAUUGGCGGGGGAGCACCACAAGGGGUGAAGCCUGCGGUUUAAUUGGAGUCAACGCCGGA
rnacentral:rRNA from 1 species